rnacentral:pre_miRNA from 1 species
UGAAUACUCCCUCCAUCUCAAAAUUCUUGUCUUAGAUUAGUCUAGAUAUGGAUGUAUUUAAUACUAAAACGUGACUUGAUACAUCCGUAUUUAGACAAAUCUAAGACAAGAAUUUUGGGACGGAGGGAGUACAUC